rnacentral:lncRNA from 1 species
CUAGCCGGAAAGGGCACUGGCUCUCUGAGGAUUUGAAUAUGGCCCCACCCACUUCAGUCCUUAGAAUGGAUCUACGAGAUGAUUCCACCACUCUGCAUUCAACUCCAGAGACCACUGGUGAUGCAGCAGACCAUCCUUAGAAUGACUGACACUGUCACUUCUCACCCUUCUCAAGCGUGACUCCCAAGCAACCCCAGCAGCAAGUCUACCAGCAAACGUAUGCAUCAGGGCCUGGUCCCAGGACAUCCCAUCUAGAAUAUGGGAAAAACCUUGCUGUACAGUGAGCUGAAACCAGGAGCCUGUGUGAUGUACCCACAGUAACACAACUCCCAAGGGCACCACUGACAGGAACUAUGACACCACACUACGGUUUCUCUCUCCACUUUUUGCUUUUGACAUGCAGCUCAAUCCGUGGGGACAGUCCUGCCAGCAAAUAACCC